rnacentral:piRNA from 1 species
CAGGACUGCCAGAGUCAUGCUCGCUCC